rnacentral:rRNA from 1 species
AUUGAACGCUGGCGGCAUGCCUUACACAUGCAAGUCGAACGGCAGCACGGGUGCUUGCACCUGGUGGCGAGUGGCGAACGGGUGAGUAAUAUAUCGGAACGUACCUUAUUGUGGGGGAUAACGCAGCGAAAGCUGUGCUAAUACCGCAUAAUCCCUAAGGGGGAAAGCGGGGGACCGUAAGGCCUCGCGCAAUUAGAGCGGCCGAUACCUGAUUAGCUAGUUGAUGAGGUAAAGGCUCACCAAGGCAACGAUCAGUAGCUGGGCUGAGAGGACGAUCAGCCACACUGGAACUGAGACACGGCCCAGACUGCUACGGGAGGCAGCAGUGGGGAAUUUUGGACAAUGGGGGCAACCCUGAUCCAGCAAUGCCGCGUGAGUGAAGAAGGCCUUCGGGUUGUAAAGCUCUUUUGUCAGGGAAGAAACAGCAGCUCUAACACAGUAUGCGAAUGACGGUACCUGAAGAAUAAGCACCGGCUAACUACGUGCCAGCCGCCGCCGUAA